AUGUUUUUAAAACCCACAUUUGGUGGAGGAACCAGACUGGAUGUUGGAAGUGAAGCCCGUCCCACCUUGAUGGUUCUGCCCCCUUCCAAUGAGGAGCUGCAGCAGGGGAAGGCCACGCUCGUGUGCCUGGCCAACAAGGGCUUCCCCUCAGACUGGAGUCUGGCCUGGAAGGUGGACGGCAUCAGCGGCGGCAGCUGGGAGGAGAGCAGGGGCCCUGCGGUGAUGGAGCAGGACGCUCGUUACAGCUGGAGCAGCACCCUGAGGCUCUCUGCAGGCCAGUGGACGAAGGUGGGCUCUGUGACCUGUGAGGCCACCCAGGGCUCCCAGACGCUGGUCUCAGAGACACUGAGGAGGGACCAGUGUUCCCAGGACUGAGCUGUAUCACCUGGA